AAAUAGAUACCCGGGUAGUCCACGCCGUAAAACGGUGGGCGCUAGGUGUGGGGGACUUUCCACGUCCUCUGUGCCGCAGCUAACGCAUUAAGCGCCCCGCCUGGGGGAGUACGGGCCGCAAGGCUAAAACUCAAAGGAAUUGACGGGGGCCCGCACAAGCGGCGGAGCAUGUGGCUUAAUUCGACGCAACGCGAAGAACCUUACCAAGGCUUGACAUGCAGGGAAAUCUCGUAGAGAUACGGGGUCCGCAAGGGCUCUGCACAGGUGGUGCAUGGUUGUCGUCAGCUCGUGUCGUGAGAUGUUGGGUUAAGUCCCGCAACGAGCGCGAACCCUUGUCCUAUGUUGCCAGCGAGUAAUGUCGGGGACUCAUAGGAGACGUGCCGGGGUCAACUCGGAGGAACGGCGGGGAUGGACGUCAAAGUCAUCAUGCCCCUUAUGUCUUCGGGCUGACACACAUCGACUACAGUGGUCGGUAACGAAGGGCUGCGACGACCGCAAGGUGGAGCGAAUACCCGAAAAGCCCGGCCUCGAGUUCGGAGUUCGGGGU
rnacentral:rRNA from 1 species